rnacentral:lncRNA from 1 species
AUUCAUCAGAUUCAGAUAACGAUGAACCACAGAGAAGAAAGCAAGAUGCAUCAGAAGAUGAUGAACCCAGAAGAAGACGGCGUGAUGAGGAUGAACCAAGGAGAAGACUGGAUGACGACGAUGAACCGAGGAGAAGACAGCAGGAUGACAAUGAACCGAGGAGAAGACAGCGGGAUGACAAUGAACCGAGGAGAAGACGGCAGGACAACGGUGAACCAAGGAGAAGACGGCAGGACGACGAUGAACCAAGGAGAAGACGGCAGGACGACGAUGAACCAAGGAGAAGACGGCAGGACGACGAUGAGCCAAGGGGAAGACGGCAGGAUGAUGAGAAACCAAGGGAAAGAGGCUACGUUGACCGUCCAAGAUAUGAUCGCUUUGAUGUUGAUGAUAGGAAAAGGAGACAUC